AACGAACGCUGGCGGCAGGCCUAACACAUGCAAGUCGAGCGAAGCCUUCGGGCUUAGCGGCGGACGGGUGAGUAACGCGUGGGAACGUGCCCUUUGGUACGGAAUAGCCCCGGGAAACUGGGAGUAAUACCGUAUGUGGUCGAGAGACGAAAGAUUUAUCGCCAAAGGAUCGGCCCGCGUUGGAUUAGGUAGUUGGUGGGGUAAUGGCCUACCAAGCCGACGAUCCAUAGCUGGUUUGAGAGGAUGAUCAGCCACACUGGGACUGAGACACGGCCCAGACUCCUACGGGAGGCAGCAGUGGGGAAUCUUAGACAAUGGGGGAAACCCUGAUCUAGCCAUGCCGCGUGAUCGAUAAAGGCCUUAGGGUUGUAAAGAUCUUUCAGUGGGGAAGAUAAUGACUGUACCCACAGAAGAAGCCCCGGCUAGCUCCGUGCCAGCCGCCGCGGUAAUAC
rnacentral:rRNA from 1 species